rnacentral:tRNA from 1 species
GCUCCUAUCGUCUAACGGCCAGGACACCUGAUUGUCGAUCAGGAAAUCGGGGUUCGAUUCCCCGUGGGAGCGCCA